CGCUAUCCUUGGAGCCUGCACGCGCGCGUGCACACAUCAUCGGGAGCGUCGCUGGGCUUGCGUGCGCGUCCUCGAGAAAUAAAGAAAGGAUCAGGAAGAAGGUGAGAGAGAGAGAGAGAGAGAGAGGUAAAGGCGCCGUCUUCUUCUUCUUCGCUCUCUGCUGCAGUGUCUGAUUCUCCCUCCACCAUCUUCAUCAACAUCAUCAUCCUCUUCUCCCUCCUCUCUGUCUGUCUGGCCCCCCCUUCUCCUCCUCCCCCUCCUCCUCUUCCACCCCCUCCUCCCCCUCCUGUGAAGGCAUGGCCAGAUAUCACAGCGACAAAAGAGAGAGACAGUGGUAGAGAGACCUUUUGAGAGAGAGAGAGUGAGAGUGAGGGAAGAAGGCUGCAGACUUUCAGACCUGAGAGGAAGAGGAGAGGAGGAAGAAGAGAUAGAGGAGUCUCCAUCUUCGCCAUUUCAAUCAUUAAAGCUUCACACAUUGACCGCAUCCACUCAUCAUCCUGUCAGUCACUCAGCCCCGCCCCGCUGCUC
ensembl:lncRNA